GUGUCAGCCGCCGCGGUAAGACAGAGGGUGCAAACGUUGCUCGGAAUUACUGGGCGUAAAGCGCGUGUAGGCGGACUUGUAAGUCAGAUGUGAAAGCCCUGGGCUCAACCCAGGAACUGCAUUUGAAACUGCGAGCCUAGAGUGAUGGAGAGGGAAGCGGAAUUCCUGGUGUAGAGGUGAAAUUCGUAGAUAUCAGGAGGAACACCGGUGGCGAAGGCGGCUUCCUGGACAUCAACUGACGCUGAGACGCGAAAGCGUGGGGAGCAAACAGGAUUAGAAACCCGCGUAGUCC
rnacentral:rRNA from 1 species